AGCUAUUCAAAAGUUUUGAAAAAUCGAGAUAAAGAACUAACAAUACUUACAUGGAUGAAUGACUAGGAAAGACUAGAGCUUACAUAAGGGGUGAAACCCCCCAGGUAACGGGGGAUGGGACAGGGCUGCAUUAGUCCUUUCUCUGCCGUUCAAAAUCUAAAUGUUGCCCAAGUCGUCUUCUUUUUUAUGGCUCCAAAAUUCUUCUUUUCACUAAACCUCAUAUUUUCCAACUCCAAGUUAUGCAGCAGCACACUGUGUUAUAGGCGGCGGUGAUAAGAACGACGAUCGAGUGGUAGAAUCCUUAACCAGAUUGACAAUGAUGAUGGAAGACAUUCUUUGCUUCAGGUUCUGUGGCUCUUUACGUAUUCCUAUACUCCAUCAACGACUUGGUCUUUGACCUGCAGAGUUUGAGUGGACCAGUCUCAGCCAAGCUUUUACCUUGGCUAUUCACUGUUCAUGGCCAUUGCAACCAUGUUGUCAACAGGCACCAGCAGCUUCCUUAUGUCAUCUGUAAAGAUAGAUGAGGUUCUUGAAACUAUGCAAAAGGUUAAUUGAGGAAGACAACAGAUGAUGUUUCAUUCUUUGUCUAAAAUUGUUGUCAAACAGUUUUAUGUUGAUGGAAUCUGCAGUUUGUUCUGCUUCUGCCUGUUUGCGAGUUUCUUUAGAAGGUUGUAAUUCAAACUAUCUCAUCUCAUUUUAAUACCGUAGAAAAUUAAUGCUAAUUAGAUAUCUGGUUUCAGAACAUGUUAUGAUACUCACAACGCUUUUGGGUUUCUAAUUUUCUUUGUGGAUUGAAGGAUGGAAAAUGACCUAGUAUAAGAUAGGAAAAGUGACUUAUUAUAUACUAUCAAGGAUUUUAUUUACA